rnacentral:rRNA from 1 species
GAUGAACGCUGGCGGCGUGCCUAAUACAUGCAAGUCGAGCGAACAGACGAGGAGCUUGCUCCUCUGACGUUAGCGGCGGACGGGUGAGUAACACGUGGAUAACCUACCUAUAAGACUGGGAUAACUUCGGGAAACCGGAGCUAAUACCGGAUAAUAUAUAGAACCGCAUGGUUCAAUAGUGAAAGACGGUUUUGCUGUCACUUAUAGAUGGAUCCGCGCCGCAUUAGCUAGUUGGUAAGGUAACGGCUUACCAAGGCGACGAUGCGUAGCCGACCUGAGAGGGUGAUCGGCCACACUGGAACUGAGACACGGUCCAGACUCCUACGGGAGGCAGCAGUAGGGAAUCUUCCGCAGUGGGCGAAAGCCUGACGGAGCAACGCCGCGUGAGUGAUGAAGGUCUUCGGAUCGUAAAACUCUGUUAUUAGGGAAGAACAAAUGUGUAAGUAACUAUGCACGUCUUGACGGUACCUAAUCAGAAAGCCACGGCUAACUACGU